rnacentral:rRNA from 1 species
UACGAAGGGGGCAAGCGUUGCUCGGAAUCAUUGGGCGUAAAGCGCGCGCGGGUGGUCUUGUAAGUCAGGAGUGAAAGCCCUGGGCUCAACCCAGGAAGUGCUUUUGAUACUGCGAGACUUGAAUGUGGGAGAGGAAGCUAGAAUACCUAGUGUAGUGGUGAAAUACGUAGAUAUUAGGUGGAACACCGGUGGGGAAGCCGGGUUUCUGGCCCAACAUUGACAUUUAGGCGCGAAAGCGUGGGGAGCAAACAGG